UUAUCUACAUUUACUUAUUUAUGUGCCAGGCUAUUCUGUUUAACCACAUCAGCAAAAUUAAUUCACUCCUGCACUCUCAAAUUUAUUACGAAGUUGUCCAGAAAAAGUUACAAUUCCCGAGUAUUCCAUCAUCUACAUACAAACUGUAGAUCAUUAUUUCCAUGGGUUGUCGACUCACUCACGAAGAAAGACUGAAAAUUAUUAAAAUACUAAUUAACAAUUCGUACAUGUUAGGAGAAUGGUAUCAGUUUGCCGUACACCUCGGACCCGUCCACAUCCCGGCUUCGGAUAUACGCCUUUGGGUUGAAAAUCAAACACAUAAGCCAAGAUUUCAACUAUUUUCUGAAAUUAUAAAUUCCUGGAAAAGUGCUAAUGGAGACCAGGCUACCUUAGAGAAUUUAGUAAAAUGUCUAACAGACAUUGGAACGGGUAACACAUCUUGUUUAGAAAGCAUACUGCAAAUUGGAAACAAGGAGGACACCAAGUGCAAAGUAGGGGAUGAUGACGACCUAAUUUUGACGGACACAUUUACCCAAUUACACUCUUUUUUCCACCCAGAAAUGCAGUAUCUGUUUGUAACGAAGUACUACGAAAAAUUUGAUUUUCAUAGACAUGAGUGCAACAUUACACUUUCAAAUAGAUCUUUUUGUAAUUUUUUCCUUCAUAAAAACUGGGCGUGUCCUACAUGUGUUCCAGUUUUCAUAAGCAGAUUAGAUUCUCUUGGAAUUAACAAACAUGAUAAUUGUGAAAAAUUAUUGCGCAAAUUAGCGAAAAUUUUGAAUCCUUUACGAAAUCAUUUUAAUGAAAUGUACUAUACAGUUAAAUGUUUUAAUUUGAAAUAUGAAGUAUGUAUGAAUAAUUUUAAUGAAUAUGGAAUAGGAUAAAAACAUUGCACUAUUAAUUCUGUCUGUGUAUUGGCUACAAUUUGGAUUUCUAUUUUGGUUUUUUAUCCUCAGAUAAGUGUGCUAAUGAUUAUGUUAUUUUUAUAAAUUGUUUAUUUUAUUAUAAUGUCACUUGUGGAAGAGCACAUUUUGGACCUCUUUACUUGGAAUUGUAUUUUGUUUUAUGAUUAUGAUCACCUGCUGAUUUAUCUUUACUUGUUUUUUAUAUUAGAAUAGUUAAAUAUAUGGUAUAUUGACCAGUGUGUCACCAAUGGUAGACCAUUGUUGUUGUACUUGUACGAUGUAUGCAAUGAAUUGGGAAAGACACAGUAAUAAAGAUAUACAUACAUUAAGGGCGAAUAAUAUUAGACUGACGAUGAGGGCGACAACAAUUUACAUAGUUUGGCAAUAUUAAAUAUUUAUACAAAACGUUCAUUAUUAGAAUAUUGGAAAUUUCCCUAUUUAUAUUUUAAUUUACCUUACAAAAAUAAAGUUUGAACCCCA